UUUUCUUUUCUUUUCUUUUUUUUUUUUUUUAAGAUUUGCUUAUUUAUUCUAGAGAGGGAGCAAGCGAGAGCAAGCACAGGCAGACAGAGAGGCAGGCAGAG